rnacentral:lncRNA from 1 species
GGAGCUGGGGCCGGCCUGGGACCAUGGGCGGUGAGUGCGGCGCGGGCCUGGGCCGGGGCGGUUGCCGUUGGGGCCGAGCAGCGCAGAGGUUCUAGGCGGCCCUCUCCCGCACGGCCCCCGCACUCCCGCCGCUGGAUUCCAGCCGAGAUUCAAGCUCCCGGGAUCCCCCUUCCCGGGCGGUCCUGAGCCGGCUAGUCUCCAGUGAGUGCAAUCUACGGAUCAGUCUCUGAUGGUGGGUCGUUAACCUCAGUGGGGACUCCAAGAUUUCCAUGAAGAAAAUCAGUUGUCUUCAUUCAAGAAUUGGGGUCUGGCUCAGAAUUCCUGCAGCUGGUGAAAAUCUGUUUUCUAGAAGAGGUUUAAUUAAUGCCUGCAGUCUGCCCUGAGCUGUAGCCCCAGUCCCCUUUGACAUCACCCAUUUUCCAAUGGAGGAAGCUUCCAGGGAGACAGGGUACCACUUGGAGAGCCCCCAUGGCCACUUCAGAUUGCAGCCAUUGCCACUUCAUCUCACCUGAGGUGCUGAGGGGAGAGUCUAGUUUACAGGGCAUCCUUUUGUCACCUGCUCGCCACCCUUAUGCCCCUGGGUGUGACCAGCUUCCUCAGAAAGAGCUGUAAUCAAUAGCAUAUUGAUUAAAAAGCAUAUUAAGAUGAAAA